UGGGGAAUCUUCCGCAAUGGACGAAAGUCUGACGGAGCAACGCCGCGUGAGUGAUGACGGCCUUCGGGUUGUAAAGCUCUGUUAAUCGGGACGAAAGGCCUUCUUGCGAAUAGUUAGAAGGAUUGACGGUACCGGAAUAGAAAGCCACGGCUAACUACGUGCCAGCAGCCGCGGUAAUACGUAGGUGGCAAGCGUUGUCCGGAAUUAUUGGGCGUAAAGCGCGCGCAGGCGGAUUGGUCAGUCUGUCUUAAAAGUUCGGGGCUUAACCCCGUGAUGGGAUGGAAACUGCCAAUCUAGAGUAUCGGAGAGGAAAGUGGAAUUCCUAGUGUAGCGGUGAAAUACGUAGAUAUUAGGAAGAACACCAGUGGCGAAGGCGACUUUCUGGACGAAAACUGACGCUGAGGCGCGAAAGCCAGGGGAGCGAACGGGAUUAGAUACCCCGGUAGUCCUGGCCGUAAACGAUGGGUACUAGGUGUAGGAGGUAUCGACCCCUUCUGUGCCGGAGUUAACGCAAUAAGUACCCCGCCUGGGGAGUACGACCGCAAGGUUG
rnacentral:rRNA from 1 species